rnacentral:rRNA from 1 species
AUGUUAUCUAGUAGGAGUAUAUGCGUCAGAAUUCAGAAACUGGUAGUACUCACUGGGAUCGGUGGUGGUGACCAUGCCGGCGCCCUGGAAGUAGCAGGAGCCGCCGGCCUUGCCCUGCGACUGGUAGUAGGUGUUGAAGGCGAACGAGGCGUGGCUCCGCACGUCGUUGGGCUCGUAGCACCCCUCCCCGGGCUGUAUCGCCGUGCAGUCAGACCGGCCGGGGCCGCAUGCCCAGUCCAUGGCAGCCUGCACCGCCUUCUCGUCCGCGUCGUCCGCCGCGAUGCAGAACGUCCGGUCCGUCGUGUCGUUCCCCAAGAAACCGUCCUUCCCGGUCACGUGGAGCAGGUACACCGGCGUGCCGUUGCCGUGGAAGAGCCCCCAGUUGGCCUCCGACGCCGGCCCCGGCCGCAGGUCCUCGUUGAAGAGCUCGUAGAUGUACACGCUCGCCUGCGUGCCGGGCCGCAUAGGCGUCCCGGGCUUCUCCGUGACAUGCUUGAUGAGGUUGGAGUUGUACGUGUUGGCGUUGUCCUUGCUGGCGUACGGCUCUUGCUUGCGGUCCCCGUAGGACGGCCACCCGGUCUCGGUGACCAGCACCGGGAUGCCGGCGCUGACGUUGAGGUUCUUGAGGGCGACGUACACCGCGUCGAGCAUGGCGUCGAACACGUUGGUGUAGUGGAGCAGCGUGUUGGGGUCGACCAUCUCCAGCGACGGCGGGAGCGGCUUGAACAUGGCGUUGUCGACGGGGACGACGCCACUGCUCUGCAUCAGCGAGUAGUAGGGGUAGAGGUUGAGCAUGAGGGGCGCGGAGGUGUUGGCGAGGUGGGAGAGGAGCGGGAGGAGGAAGGAUUUGGCGAGGGACUGGUUGAAGUAGGCCUGGGACGGGGGGAAGGGCUCGAGGACGAUGGAGAAAGGGAGCGGGGUGGAGACGGGGAUGGAGGAGAGGUUGGCGGCGGUGAGCGCGGCGGCGAGGGACUGGAUGGCGGGGAGGAGGAUGGGGAGCGCGGAGGGCAGGGCGGUGGGGACCUCGUCGCCGACGGCGAUGGCGGAGAUGAGGCCCGGGGUGGUUGA